CUUAGAGAUUAUGGGAUUUACAGGCGAGAAGUGGUAGAGAGAGAACUCUUUCUCCCACAAGUCCAGGGUUUUCCCAUUGGUCUGCACUUUCUAGAGUUUCUUAGGCAUUGUGCUGAUCACCAUGGGACUGUGAAAGCUGGUUUCGUCACUUGGAAGCCAGGGAACAAGUUUGGAAAAGAACCUCUCACCAGGUCUCCACUAUUAAAGAUACUUAGCAUCAUGGAAACAUAGACCAAAGGAGUUUUCUUACUGUUUAUGCCAAGUGGAAGACCAAGGCCUAUUUUCACUCUAUCCCAGAAGAAAACUACAACUUCCUUCAGUUGAAAGACUGGACUGUUGGACUCAAGAGCUACAUUGCUUCAUUCCUUUUUCUCUGGGACAUUCAGAAAUGACAACAGAUGGAUUCAUAUUGGCUGCUUGGCCAAAGAAGCGAAGAGGAAUUUACUCUGAUUCAUUCCAUUUCUUGCACAAUCUCUCUCUGACUUACUAACCAAUUCAAUUAAGCAAACCUAUAUUAAGCACUUACUACUUGCUCCCCACUUGCAGGGUGCAGUAUUAAGGUAACUACAGACACAAAGAUGUGCAAUAAGAAGUUUCAGCCUACAAAGAGCUUGCUCCCUGGUUGAAGAGUCGGGCAUAUACCCAUAUAAAGUUAUCAUACGAAGGGUGAAGAGUGUGAAGAGUGUUUACUUUCUUCCUGCAAAGACCUCAUCUAAAGAUACACACUCCAUAUUGUGUAUUAGAAAGGAAUCAUUUUUGUACAAAUAACUAAAAGUCCACUUCAGUCUAACUAAGG
rnacentral:lncRNA from 1 species